AAGACAAAAUAACCUGUGACUGCAAACUCCCAGCUUCGUCUCCGAACCAAACCUACACGUGUAGCCGACUAAUUGGAUUGAAAUCAGAAGAAGGAAAAUAAAUCCCUUAUACACCACCUGGGUGAAAACAGACAGAUUUCUUCUCAUUCUUUCUUUCCCCGAGUUUCUCGUUUCAUACUUCAAAUCAUCAUCACCUCCGUUUGUUCUUCAGUUUCUUCUUCAAGGCCUGAGAGGAAAAUGGAAGGAGGAAGAGAUUCAAUAUUAUCAGGCCUUGGCGGUGGUGGUGGUGGAGGAGAAGAAGAAAAUAAUAACAAGGUGAUAGCAACAUUUCAGAAGAGUUUUACACAAGUACAGAAUAUUUUAGAUCAAAACAGAUUGUUAAUCAAUGAGAUUAACGCUAAUCAUGAAUCUAAAUUGCCUCAUAAUCUGAGUAGAAAUGUUGGGUUAAUUAGAGAACUUAAUAACAACAUUAGUACCGUGGUUCAUCUUUAUGAUCAGCUAUCUACUUGUUUUGCUAAAUCCAUGGAAGUCUCUUCUCAAGAAGCUGAUUCUGCUGCUACUACUAGUAAUAAUGCUAAUGGUGCUGCUUCUUUGAAAUCGUCUCAUUCCGGUCAAAAACGGGUUCGACCCGGGUAACAAAUAAUUUGAUUUUCAGGGUAGCAAAUUCAGUCGGUCUCUAUAGUCUAUAUGUUCUAUUUUAAUGGAUGGAAGAAGAAAAAUUUGACAUUUUGUUGUCCCUCCCGUUUAUUGUUCUUGAGUGUGUUGUUGUUGAAUUUUACAUUUGAUUCAUCAUUAAACCAUGUUUAAUUAGGACAAUUCUUAAUUGAAGUUUCAUCUUUAUGACCUUUUAAUCAACAGAAAGAGGUUGAGAUCUGCAAA